AGUUUCGUCAUAUUCCGUGCAGUGUAAAAGCAACUUAUAGGCCUUCAGGUAUGGACGUCUCUGGAGGUCAAAGUGUGUAUCCUUUACACCGUUGCAAAACUAUACACCUGGUGAGGCAUGCUCAGGGGAUUCACAAUGUGGAAGGAGAAAAGGACCAUAGUGCCUACCUAUCUCGACACCUUUUCGAUGCACACCUUACUCCUCUUGGCUGGCAGCAGGUAGACAAUCUACGGAAACAUGUUCAAACAUCAGGAAUUUCUAAGAGGGUGGAACUAGUUAUAACUUCUCCUCUAUUGAGGUGUAUGCAAACAGCCGUUGGCGUUUUUGGUGGAGAAGAUUCCACAGAUGGAACAGAUGUUCCUCCACUCAUGGUAACAGAUGCAGGAGAGAGUAACCAUCCAGCAAUUUCAAGUUUAAAUUGCCCUCCCUUCAUUGCAGUGGAGGGUUGUCGUGAACACUUGGGGGAAAUCUUUUCCAUUUAAGGAAGAGGUCAGCUCUUAUGGGGAUGGACAAAAAAGCUAAGGCUCAGUAUUAUUGGGACGAAGGGAGGUUAUUAUAGAAGAACUGUAGAAACUCACUUUUCUAUCGUUAAUAUACAAGAAGUUUAUUUGUUUUACAUGUUGUGAAAUGCAGGGAGUUCACUGGUGUGAUAAGAGAAGAAGCAUUAGCGAAUACAAGCCUCUAUUUCCUGCAAUUGACUUUUCCUUGAUUGAAUCUGAUGAUGAUGUUCUCUGGGAGCUUGAUGUUAGAGAGAAAAUUGAAGACGUUGCUUCCAGAGGAAUAGAGUUCUUUAAGUGGUUGUGGACACGGAAGGAGAAGGAGAUCGCAAUUGUUACGCAUAGUGGAUUAUUGACUCAUACACUCGCUAAAUUUGGUCGUGAUUGUCAUCCAGAUGUGAAGAGUGAGAUAUCUAAGCGAUUUCAGAACUGCGAACUUCGAACCAUGGUUCUUGUUGACAGAAGCAUGGUAGGGUCGGAUUCUUCAGCAACUAAUUAUCCAGGAAAAAUUCCAAGUGGAGAAGAUGCGCCAAGUGACCUUGCAUGUACUACUCCAGAUGGAUUGCCAAACUGAUGAUAUUUCAAGCAGAGGCAAUAAAAUAUGUUGGAGUUUGAUUUGCUUUUUACGAUUCUUUCAAAGUUAAAAAGUUUUAGAUCAUCUCAUUUGGAGCACUUUGUGGUUGACUCCGAAUUUUA
rnacentral:misc_RNA from 1 species